ensembl:snoRNA
UGGACCAAUGAUGAUGACUGGCGCAUAUGAGUCAUGUAUAGUGAAUGCUACGUGUCAGGAGCUCUGAGGUCCAA